AGUGGCGGACGGGUGAGUAACGCGUGGGUAACCUGCCUCAUACAGGGGGAUAACAGUUAGAAAUGACUGCUAAUACCGCAUAAGACCACAGCACCGCAUGGUGCAGGGGUAAAAACUCCGGUGGUAUGAGAUGGACCCGCGUCUGAUUAGGUAGUUGGUGGGGUAACGGCCUACCAAGCCGACGAUCGGUAGCCGGACUGAGAGGUUGAACGGCCACAUUGGGACUGAGACACGGCCCAG
rnacentral:rRNA from 1 species